rnacentral:rRNA from 1 species
GACCAGACUCCUACGGGAGGCAGCAGUGGGGAAUAUUGCACAAUGGGGGAAACCCUGAUGCAGCGACGCCGCGUGAGUGAAGAAGUAUUUCGGUAUGUAAAGCUCUCUCAGCAGGGAAGAAAAUGACGGUACCUGACUAAGAAGCCCCGGCUAACUACGUGCCAGCAGCCGCGGUAAUACGUAGGGGGCAAGCGUUAUCCGGAUUUACUGGGUGUAAAGGGAGCGUAGACGGCAUGGCAAGUCAGAUGUGAAAGCCCGGGGCUCAACCCCGGGACUGCAUUUGAAACUGUCAGGCUGGAGUGCAGGAGAGGUAAGUGGAAUUCCUAGUGUAGCGGUGAAAUGCGUAGAUAUUAGGAGGAACACCAGUGGCGAAGGCGGCUUACUGGACUGUAACUGACGUUGAGGCUCGAAAGCGUGGGGAGCAAACAGGAUUAGAUACCCGAGUA